rnacentral:miRNA from 2 species
AGAGGUAGUUGUUUGUACAGUU